UCACUGAUUUUGAAUGCUUGUUUUGUUGUCGUAGGGCUGGGAGGAGGACCUGCUGCCUGAGGAGAGGGAGGUUCCUCUGCUAAACCUCUACCUUACCACCAAGAGAGUGGAGGACAUCGCCCUGAGGCUCGUCUCCCUGCGCCAGGCCUUCACUACCCUGCUUGGUUCCACCCUGAGCAGGAACAAUC